UACGUAUGGAGCAAGCGUUAUCCGGAUUUACUGGGCGUAAAGGGAGCGUAGGCGGCCUGCCAAGUCUGAUGUGAAAGCCCGGGGCCCAACCCCGGUACUGCAUUUGAAACUGUCCGGCUGGAGUGCAGGAGAGGUAAGCGGAAUUCCUAGUGUAGCGGUGAAAUGCGUAGAUAUUAGGAGGAACACCAGUGGCGAAGGCGGCUUACUGGACUGUAACUGACACUGAGGCACGAAAGCGUGGGGAGCAAACAGG
rnacentral:rRNA from 1 species